rnacentral:misc_RNA from 1 species
ACAUCUCAACUCCUCACGGUUCACCCGUGAUGAGCUUGGACUUUGGGGGUCUUGCUGGCCUGCGGGUCGGCUCCUCUCAAAUGAAUCAGCUUGCCGGUGUUUGGCGGCGUCACAGGUGUGAUAACUAUCUACGCUUGUGGUUUUCUGCUAGGUAACCUCCAGCAAUGGGGGUUCACUGGAGCUCACAAAUGUCUCUCCUCGGCGAGGACAGGUCUUUGAAC